ACGGUCGAAUCAUGUUGAAACGCCUGUUUUCGUACGAACAUCGAAGUUAAGCAACCUCAAGCCUGGUCAGUACCUAGAUGGGUGAACACUUGGUAAUACCCGGUGCUGUAA